CCUACGGGGGGCAGCAGUAGGGAAUCUUCCGCAAUGGACGAAAGUCUGACGGAGCAACGCCGCGUGAGUGAUGAAGGUUUUCGGAUCGUAAAGCUCUGUUGUUAGGGAAGAACAAGUGCGAGAGUAACUGCUCGCACCUUGACGGUACCUAACCAGAAAGCCACGGCUAACUACGUGCCAGCAGCCGCGGUAAUACGUAGGUGGCAAGCGUUGUCCGGAAUUAUUGGGCGUAAAGGGCUCGCAGGCGGUUUCUUAAGUCUGAUGUGAAAGCCCCCGGCUCAACCGGGGAGGGUCAUUGGAAACUGGGAAACUUGAGUGCAGAAGAGGAGAGUGGAAUUCCACGUGUAGCGGUGAAAUGCGUAGAGAUGUGGAGGAACACCAGUGGCGAAGGCGACUCUCUGGUCUGUAACUGACGCUGAGGAGCGAAAGCGUGGGGAGCG
rnacentral:rRNA from 1 species